rnacentral:rRNA from 1 species
AGAGUUUCGAUCCUGGCUCGAGAUGAACGCUGGCGGCGUGCUUAACACAUGCAAGUCGAACGGGGUACCCGACUGACGGAGGCUUCGGCCAACUGAAUGGAGUACCUAGUGGCGGACGGGUGAGUAACGCGUGAGGAACCUGCCUUGGAUGGGGAAUAACAUUAGAAAUAGCUGCUAAUACCGCAUAAUGCAGCGAAGUCGCAUGGCUUUGCUGCCAAAGAUUUAUCGCUCUGAGAUGGCCUCGCGUCUGAUUAGAUAGUUGGCGGGGUAACGGCCCACCAAGUCGACGAUCAGUAGCCGGACUGAGAGGUUGGCCGGCCACAUUGGGACUGAGACACGGCCCAGACUCCUACGGGAGGCAGCAGUGGGGAAUAUUGGGCAAUGGGCGCAAGCCUGACCCAGCAACGCCGCGUGAAGGAAGAAGGCCUUCGGGUUGUAAACUUCUUUUGUCAGGGACGGAGAAAGUGACGGUACCUGACGAAUAAGCCACGGCUAACUACGUG